rnacentral:piRNA from 1 species
UUUUUUUUCGGUUUCGUCCGU